rnacentral:rRNA from 1 species
AUUGAACGCUGGCGGCAGGCCUAACACAUGCAAGUCGAGCGGAGCGGCGGACGGGUGAGUAAUGCCUAGGUAUGUGCCUGGUCGUGGGGGAUGACGUCCGGCAACGGGCGCUAAUACCGCAUACUCUCAGAUGAGUCUAGGUCGGAUUAGCUAGUUGGUGGGGUAAAGGCUUACCAAGGCGACGAUCCGUAACUGGUCUGAGAGGAUGAUCAGCCACACUGGAACUGAGACACGGUCCAGACUCCUACGGGAGGCAGCAGUGGGGAAUAUUGGACAAUGGGCGAAAGCCUGAUCCAGCCAUGCCGCGUGUGUGAAGAAGGUCUUCGGAUUGUAAAGUCCUUUUGUUGGGGAAGCGGUACCCAAAGAAGAAGCACCGGCUAACUUCGUGCCAGCAGCCGCGGUAAUAC